rnacentral:SRP_RNA from 1 species
AGUCGGGUAAGUCCUAUACGACCAGCUCCCGGUGAAUUCCCCCAGGUCUUGACCGAAGCAAGGGUAGCAGGUUGUAGCGGUGCGAUAUAGUAAGCUUGCCCGC